rnacentral:lncRNA from 1 species
CUCAGCUUCCCAGGAGAGAAAUUCUGCCAAAAGGAUUUUUCCAGAAAAUGUGACAGUGACAGUUUUAUUCUAAGCCAUUCAGAUAUCGAAUGUUUGAGGUGUUUCCUCACUCAAACCCCAGAUUUGAACAUUCCAUUUGGGCCUGGGGGCAUUUCAGAGUGCUGUAAUGGCAGGUUUAUGUCUGGCAGGAGAUAAAAGUGAGCAGUGGUGACCCUGGGGCUGGGAGCAGCAUCGGUCAGAGUUUGUCAGUGAGUUUGUGUCACGGAUCCAUUGGCAGGGCGACAUCCUGCGUGCGGAGAAGGAGCUCCGCGUGCUGCAGGAGCAGCUCCGCGAGGCCCAGCUGAAAUCGGAGCAGUGCCAGGGCAGGAGCCUGGAGGAAAUCUCUGCUCUGCAGGGGCUCCUCAAGAAAAGCAUCCAGGAGACCGAGGUGUCCCAGAACGAGCUGGAUUGGUUCCACCAGGACUCAGAGGCACAAAUGAGGAAAUGGCAGCAGGAGAAGAAAGAGAACCGAGAGAAUUUAAAGGCGCUGAAGGGCACAGCCAAAAAACACUCGGACACCAACGAGAGGUAUUUGAAGAGCAUUGAGGAGAAGGAAAAGCAAUAUAAUGCAAGUGUAAAGACAUUUCUGAAGGCCAGUAAGAAAUUUGCUAAUGAGAAAAGCAAAUUGGAAGAGCUGAUAAAAAAGAGUCGGAAUGAGAGCCAGGAGUGUGAGAAAAGAGCUGUUAAAGCAGAGGUACCAAAAAACCCAAAAACUCCCUAAAAACCUGAUUUUUACAGCUGAGGUGGGGAAAUUAAAUAAAUUAAAUUUAAAAGAUGUUGAUAAAUAUUGG